CCUACGGGUGGCAGCAGUGAGGAAUAUUGGUCAAUGGACGCAAGCCUGAACCAGCCAUGCCGCGUGCAGGAUGACGGCCCUAUGAGUUGUAAACUUCUUUUAUACGGGGGUAAACCCCGACACGUGUGCCGGGUUGAAAGUACCUUACGAAUAAGGAUCGGCUAACUCCGUGCCAGCAGCCGCGGUAAUACGGAGGAUCCGAGCGUUAUCCGGAUUUAUUGGGUUUAAAGGGUGCGUAGACGGUUUGUUAAGUUAGUUGGGAAAUGUCGGGGCUCAACCCCUAAAUUGCCUUUAAUACUGGUGGACUAGAGAAUAGUUGCGGUAGGCGGAAUGUGUGGUGUAGCGGUGAAAUGCUUAGAGAUCAUACAGAACACCGAUUGCGAAGGCAGCUUACCAAACUAUAACUGACGUUGAGGCACGAAAGCGUGGGUAGCAAACAGGAUUAGAUACCCCAGUAGUC
rnacentral:rRNA from 1 species